AUUGAACGCUGGCGGCAGGCCUAACACAUGCAAGUCGAGCGGAUGAAGGGAGCUUGCUCCUGGAUUCAGCGGCGGACGGGUGAGUAAUGCCUAGGAAUCUGCCUGGUAGUGGGGGAUAACGUCCGGAAACGGGCGCUAAUACCGCAUACGUCCUGAGGGAGAAAGUGGGGGAUCUUCGGACCUCACGCUAUCAGAUGAGCCUAGGUCGGAUUAGCUAGUUGGUGGGGUAAAGGCCUACCAAGGCGACGAUCCGUAACUGGUCUGAGAGGAUGAUCAGUCACACUGGAACUGAGGCACGGUACAGACUCCUACGGGAGGCAGCAGUGGGGAAUAUUGGACAAUGGGCGAAAGCCUGAUCCAGCCAUGCCGCGUGUGUGAAGAAGGUCUUCGGAUUGUAAAGCACUUUAAGUUGGGAGGAAGGGCAGUAAGUUAAUACCUUGCUGUUUUGACGUUACCAACAGAAUAAGCACCGGCUAACUUCGUG
rnacentral:rRNA from 1 species